UUCUCCACUUCAACGCCACUGCAAUUUGCUGGAAAAUGUUCCCAUUGUUGUUAUCUUCCCUUAUUGCAACGAACAUAUUUCAAGCUCCUUUUUCCAUUUAAUUAAUGAUUUGGAUCAAACAUAGGUGCAAUCAAAUUAAGUCUACAUAGGUCUCUCUGUUGGCGUCUCUUCCGCAUGAAGGUCCGCCACAAAGGAAGGAGGAAAAGCAUAUAAGGCCGCAACCAUGCUUCACCGGCGAUCUUCUUACUGUCCAUUCUAUCAACCUCUGAUCUCCUUCGAAAUUCUGAAUUUCAUUUGGGCAUUACGUUGGGCCUGUAAAAUCUUCCUUUUGACACUAGCAGCUUCCCUUUCAUCUCUUUUGAUGAUUCUUGCUAACUCCUUUGGAGAUCUCACACACCAUGAUCGCCCCAAAGCUCUCAAAGAAGUCAUUUCUGCCACUUUAUGUGCCAGUUCAUUACCCUCUCUUUGGGUUCAGAUUUUUAUAAAGAAUCAUGGCGUCCCUCAUGGCAUGAGCUUCAGCAGCUAAUGGAAAUAUUGUUUUGAAGUUUAUUGUAGAUCCAGAUAGAACCUUGCCAUCACAGUUUCUUAUCACUGCUGCCGAUGCUGCUUGACCAAUUUCUUUAUCAAACGCUGCAUCAAUGCUAAUCUUCAUCCAACCAUCUAGCGGUGGCCUCCAGGUUCCUUGCUUAUGGCAUGCAAUGUUUGAUGUACGAUUGUGUUAUGGUAAAAAUUUGACGAUUGCUGUUGGUGAUAUUUAAUGGUGUAAAUGUGAGUGUCAUGUUAAUAACUCCCUUAUGGAAAAGAACCUACUAUUCUGAGAAAUCACUCCUGGCUAGAGAACAAUACACGUAGCAUUGAUCAUGGAAUUGUUUAAGUCAUAUAACUCCAACAAUGACCAUAUAUUGGGCCUUCAAAGUUUUUUUGUCAUGGGCCUUCAAAGUAAUGGUUUGAAUAUAUGUUGUGUUUAAACACCUGGCUCAAGUCCAUCUUCUCUUUGGGCCUUUGCUCAUAUUCUGAACCCCAAAAUUUUAAUCCACUGUUAACCCAAAAAUAAAAGAAGUUACAAUCUAUUUUCAUUCCCAUUGGUUGUUCUUGAGUUCUUCAU